rnacentral:rRNA from 1 species
GCAGUCGCCGCGGUAAUACAGAGGGUGCGAGCGUUAAUCGGAUUUACUGGGCGUAAAGCGUGCGUAGGCGGCUUUUCAAGUCGGAUGUGAAAUCCCUGAGCUUAACUUAGGAAUUGCAUUCGAUACUGGGAAGCUAGAGUAUGGGAGAGGAUGGUAGAAUUCCAGGUGUAGCGGUGAAAUGCGUAGAGAUCUGGAGGAAUACCGAUGGCGAAGGCAGCCAUCUGGCCUAAUACUGACGCUGAGGUACGAAAGCGUGGGGAGCAAACAGGAUUAGAUACCCCAGUAGUCCCUGUCUCUUAUAC